rnacentral:rRNA from 1 species
GAGUUUGAUCCUGGCUCAGGACGAACGCUGGCGGCGCGCCUAACACAUGCAAGUCGAACGAGCGAGAGAGAGCUUGCUUUCUCGAGCGAGUGGCGAACGGGUGAGUAACGCGUGAGGAACCUGCCUCAAAGAGGGGGACAACAGUUGGAAACGGCUGCUAAUACCGCAUAAGCGCACAGCAUCGCAUGAUGCAGUGUGAAAAACUCCGGUGGUAUAAAAUGGACCCGCGUUGGAUUAGCUAGUUGGUGAGGUAACGGCCCACCAAGGCGACGAUCCAUAGCCGACCUGAGAGGGUGACCGGCCACAUUGGGACUGAGACACGGCCCAGACUCCUACGGGAGGCAGCAGUGGGGAAUAUUGCACAAUGGGGGAAACCCUGAUGCAGCGACGCCGCGUGGAGGAAGAAGGUUUUCGGAUUGUAAACUCCUGUCGUUAGGGACGAUAAUGACGGUACCUAACAAGAAAGCACCGGCUAACUACGUGCCAGCCGCCGCGGUAAUAC